GUUUCAUGAUCUCUUUGGAAACAUCUAAUAAAAUUGGAAUGAUACAAAGAAGAUUAGCAUGAUCCCUACGCAAGGUUUGCAACAAGGAUAUACUAUCUUGCCUCCGCUCUU
rnacentral:snRNA from 1 species